rnacentral:lncRNA from 1 species
UUGAGAUAAGUUCCUUAAAAUACCUGUAAUACACAAUAAAAAUAAUAAUAAUACUACUAAAGUGCAAAGAAAAUAAUAAAAUACUUAACUAAUAUUAUAAAAUAAAUACUAUAUUUUUCAGUGUUAUCAGGCACUGCAACCGCAUCGGACCGCAAUUGCGGUGUGAACUCAAAUCACACGUGAUGCCGCAACGCAACCGCAACGCAACAGCAUUUUACCGCAACACAACGGAGUUUUGAC